rnacentral:rRNA from 1 species
UACGUAGGGUGCAAGCGUUAAUCGGAAUUACUGGGCGUAAAGCGCGUGUAGGCGGCAACGCAAGUCGGGCGUGAAAUCCCACGGCUCAACCGUGGAAGUGCACUCGAAACUGCGUAGCUAGAGUCCUGGAGAGGAAGGUGGAAUGCUUGGUGUAGAGGUGAAAUUCGUAGAUAUCAAGCGGAACACCGGUGGCGAAGGCGGCCUUCUGGACAGUGACUGACGCUGAGACGCGAAAGCGUGGGGAGCAAACAGGG